rnacentral:rRNA from 1 species
ACGAACGCUGGCGGCGUGCCUAACACAUGCAAGUCGAGCGGAGACAGUGAGUAGCUUGCUAUGAGCUGUUUUAGCGGCGGACGGGUGAGUAACGCGUGAGCAACCUUUCCCAGACAGGGGAAUAACACACCGAAAGGUGUACUAAUACCGCAUAAGACCACGGAAUCACAUGGUUCUGAGGUAAAAGAUUUAUCGGUUUGGGGUGGGCUCGCGUCCGAUUAGGUAGUUGGUGAGGUAACGGCCCACCAAGCCGACGAUCGGUAGCCGACCUGAGAGGGUGAUCGGCCACAUUGGGACUGAGACACGGCCCAAACUCCUACGGGAGGCAGCAGUGGGGAAUAUUGGGCAAUGGAGGAAACUCUGACCCAGCAACGCCGCGUGGAGGAAGAAGGUUUUCGGAUCGUAAACUCCUGUCCUUGGAGACGAGUAGAAGACGGUAUCCAAGGAGGAAGCCCCGGCUAACUACGUGCCAGCAGCCGCGGUAAUACGUAGGGGGCAAGCGUUGUCCGGAAUAAUUGGGCGUAAAGGGCGCGUAGGCGGCUCGGUAAGUCUGGAGUGAAAGUCCUGCUUUUAAGGUGGGAAUUGCUUUGGAUACUGUCGGGCUUGAGUGCAGGAGAGGUUAGUGGAAUUCCCAGUGUAGCGGUGAAAUGCGUAGAGAUUGGGAGGAACACCAGUGGCGAAGGCGACUAACUGGACUGUAACUGACGCUGAGGCGCGAAAGUGUGGGGAGCAAACAGGAUUAGAUACCCUGGUAGUCCACACUGUAAACGAUGAAUGCUAGGUGUAGGGGGUAUCGACCCCUUCUGUGCCGCAGUCAACACAAUAAGCAUUCCGCCUGGGGAGUACGGCCGCAAGGUUGAAACUCAAAGGAAUUGACGGGGGCCCGCACAAGCGGAGGAACAUGUGGUUUAAUUCGAUGAUACGCGAGGAACCUUACCCGGGCUUAAAUUGCAGAUGAAUUACGGUGAAAGCCGUAAGCCGCAAGGCAUCUGUGAAGGUGCUGCAUGGUUGUCGUCAGCUCGUGUCGUGAGAUGUUGGGUUAAGUCCCGCAACGAGCGCAACCCUUAUCUUCAGUUACUAACGCGUGAGGGUGAGGACUCUGAAGAGACUGCCGGGGACAACUCGGAGGAAGGUGGGGACGACGUCAAAUCAUCAUGCCCCUUAUGACCUGGGCUACACACGUGCUACAAUGGCCACGACAGAGAGAAGCGAAAUCGUAAGGUAGAGCGGAACUCAAAAAAGUGGUCCCAGUUCGGAUUGUGGGCUGCAACCCGCCCACAUGAAGUCGGAGUUGCUAGUAAUCGCGGAUCAGCAUGCCGCGGUGAAUACGUUCCCGGGCCUUGUACACACCGCCCGUCACACCAUGGGAGUUGGGAGUGCCCAAAGCCGGUGAGGCAGCCGCAAGGAGCCAGCCGUCUAAGGCAAGACCAAUGACUGGGGUG